UAUAGCUCAGCAGAAUCAUUAUCAAAAAGACCAAAGAGAAUUCAUCUAGCAACUGCUGGGAGCAGAUGCAAAGUCCCACAGCCAAACAUUAGGUAGAGCUAAAUUCACAACUUGAAAGCAAUUUCUUCAGUAUUUGCCAUAUCUUGGAUUUUAUCCCUAUCGACUUAAAGGAUAUUUAGAUGAGAGCUGGGACAUUAGAAUUUAAAGUUGCCAUUUAGAACAAGUUAAUACUUAGGACUGAUGGAAUGUGAUGGAUGUGUUUGAAGGGAGAAUGUGAUGCACAUCAUGAAGACCUCUCUGGCUUCCAUCUUGCUCCCACCAUCCUAAUCUGUGUCAAAAGAAUUCAGAAGAGACGUAGAACACAGAAGAUGAGGCAGAGUACAUCUCAAAGCAUCAUCAUGGACUCUCACAUAUGAUAGCAGUGAGGACCAAAGAGAUGACAGCCCAGAUCCACAUAUUGGAUGGUCUGACCACUGGAGACAGAAUAGCAAAACCCACAUCCCUUUGGGGUCUUGGUUUUGUCAAGAGGGUAAGAACGAAUUGUUGGAAUCGCACUGACUUUUAGAAGAAGAUGGAAUCAGUUUAGCAUUGUGUUUCAUAGAAUGCUUUCUAGGACACAGUUUUACAACAAAAAGAUCUUAAUGGUUAAGGAUUCCAUGCAGUCAGAUACAAAUAUUUGCUUGUUAACAACCCUUCAGGCACCUCAAACUAUGAUGUCAGCAUCAGAGAUCAUUUUCCUUUCCUUGGCUAGAAAAAAUGAUUCAGGUUGUAGCCUCUGAAUGUCCAUUAAGAUGCAGCUACUCAGUCCUUUUAGAGUUCACUGACAAUGAAGAAGUGUUUCU